rnacentral:rRNA from 1 species
CCCUUAGAUGUUCUGGGCUGCACGCGCGCUACACUGACACGUUCAACGAGUUGUUGCCUGGGCCGAGAGGUCUGGGAAAUCUUUUGAAAUCGUGUCGUGAUAGGGAUAGAUUAUUGCAAUUAUUAAUCUUCAACGAGGAAUUCCUAGUAAACGCAAGUCAUCAGCUUGCAUUGAUUACGUCCCUGCCCUUUGUACACACCGCCCGUCGCACCUACCGAUUGAAUGGUCCGGUGAAAUCUCGGGACGGCGGCUUGGUCGCUUGCGUCCGACUGCUGAAACUUGAUUAAACCAUAUCAUUUAGAGGAAGGUGAAGUCGUAACA